rnacentral:rRNA from 1 species
GAUGAACGCUGGCGGCGUGCCUAAUACAUGCCAGUCGAGCGAACGGACGAGAAGCUUGCUUCUCUGAUGUUAGCGGCGGACGGGUGAGUAACACGUGGAUAACCUACCUAUAAGACUGGGAUAACUUCGGGAAACCGGAGCUAAUACCGGAUGAUGUUUUGAACCGCAUGGUUCAAAAGUGAAAGACGGUCUUGCUGUCACUUAUAGAUGGAUCCGCGCUGCAUUAGCUAGUUGGUAAGGUAACGGCUUACCAAGGCAACGAUGCAUAGCCGACCUGAGAGGGUGAUCGGCCACACUGGAACUGAGACACGGUCCAGACUCCUACGGGAGGCAGCAGUAGGGAAUCUUCCGCAAUGGGCGAAAGCCUGACGGAGCAACGCCGCGUGAGUGAUGAAGGUCUUCGGAUCGUAAAACUCUGUUAUUAGGGAAGAACAUAUGUGUAAGUAACUGUGCACAUCUUGACGGUACCUAAUCAGAAAGCCACGGCUAACUACGUG